CUUCAAAGACGGCCACAGGGAAGGGGAAAAGGGAGGUAAAGUCUAAGUAGUGGGGCUGGGGUCGACGAGGAGUACUAGUGU
rnacentral:ribozyme from 1 species